rnacentral:tRNA from 1 species
GCUCACAUCGCAUAAUGGUAUUGCACCGCUCUGCUAAGGCGGACUCUUUGAGUACCCCGGUUCGAUUCCGGGUGUGAGCG